CCUGCUGUCCUUGUAGGCCCACAAAUGCUAGCACCCCUCAAAAAAAUUGCCAGUCAUCCUGGAUUAGUCAGACAAAAAAUGAGCGAUGACUAGUUCUGGGUCGAAGGGGGAGCCAAACGACAAAGGGAUUUUUGGUCUUGUACUGGAAAUGGGCAGACCCGAUGAGACAGCAAAAGUGAAACCACUGCAGAGGUGCUAAUGGUUAUUUCUGAAAAUGGAGGAUAUGACUAUACCGUAGGCCAGAUUUCAACAGGAGUUCUGACAUAAGAAUGAACUUGCAACUCAAGAGCACGGCGCACAGUUAAGAAACCGCAGCGUGCCUAGGAGGAAGAGGUUUCAGUGUAUAAUGCAAUGUCGUCGCACUGACAGGAACUUCAGAAUCUUGCAGAGUUUUCUAAGAAUUUCACCGGCUGUCGACAUGCUGGCGGAAGAUAAGCCGCGAUGACCUCAAUCCUGUGUGUGUGCGUGUCUGUGUACAUGUAAAUUAAAUGACUCAGUGGAGAGCA